rnacentral:rRNA from 1 species
GAUUAUGGCUCAGGACGAACGCUGGCGGCGUGCCUAACACAUGCAAGUCGAACGGAGUAAGAAUUCGGUUUUACUUAGUGGCGAACGGGUGAGUAACGCGUGAACAACCUGCCUUCCUGAGGGGGGAUAACACCUGGAAACAAGUGCUAAUACCGCAUAAGACCACAUGUCCGCAUGGACGAGGGGUCAAAGGAGCAAUCCGCAGGGAGAGGGGUUCGCGUCCCAUUAGCUAGUUGGCGGGGCAACGGCCCACCAAGGCGACGAUGGGUAGCCGAGCUGAGAGGCUGAUCGGCCACACUGGAACUGAGACACGGUCCAGACUCCUACGGGAGGCAGCAGUGGGGAAUAUUGGGCAAUGGGCGCAAGCCUGACCCAGCCAACGCCGCGUGAGGGAAGAAGGUCUUCGGAUUGUAAACCUCUGUCCUAUGUGACGAAGGAAGUGACGGUAGCAUAGGAGGAAGCCCCGGCUAACUACGUGCCAGCAGCUGC